rnacentral:tRNA from 1 species
AAAGAUUUAGUUAAAACCAUAACAUUAACUUGUCAAGUUAAAAUCAUUAAAAAAUUAAUAAUUUUUA